rnacentral:rRNA from 1 species
AUUGAACGCUGGCGGCAGGCCUAACACAUGCAAGUCGAGCGGAUGAAGGGAGCUUGCUCCUGGAUUCAGCGGCGGACGGGUGAGUAAUGCCUAGGAAUCUGCCUGGUAGUGGGGGAUAACGUCCGGAAACGGGCGCUAAUACCGCAUACGUCCUGAGGGAGAAAGUGGGGGAUCUUCGGACCUCACGCUAUCAGAUGAGCCUAGGUCGGAGUAGCUAGUUGGUGGGGUAAAGGCCUACCAAGGCGACGAUCCGUAACUGGUCUGAGAGGAUGAUCAGUCACACUGGAACUGAGACACGGUCCAUACUCCUACGGGAGGCAGCAGUGGGGAAUAUUGGACAAUGGGCGAAAGCCUGAUCCAGCCAUGCCGCGUGUGUGAAGAAGGUCUUCGGAUUGUAAAGCACUUUAAGUUGGGAGGAAGGGCAGUAAGUUAAUACCUUGCUGUUUUGACGUUACCAACAGAAUAAGCACCGGCUAACUUCGUG